GAUUAACGCUGGCGGCGUGCCUAACACAUGCAAGUCGAGCGGCAGCGAGUUUUACACUGAAUUCUGGAAGCUUCUAGUUGAAAGAGAAGAUUUAUUCAAGAAUUUUGUGUAAAAUGUCGGCGAGCGGCGGACGGCUGAGUAACGCGUGGGAACGUACCCCAAAGUGAGGGAUAACGCAUCGAAAGGUGUGCUAAUACCGCAUAUGGUCUUCGGAUUAAAGCCUUCGGGCGCUUUGGGAACGGCCUGCGUAAGAUUAGAUAGUUGGUGGGGUAAUGGCCUACCAAGUCGACGAUCUUUAACUGGUUUGAGAGGAUGAUCAGUCAGACUGGAACUGAGACACGGUCCAGACUCCUACGGGAGGCAGCAGUGAGGAAUCUUCCACAAUGGGCGAAAGCCUGAUGGAGCAACGCCGCGUGCAGGAUGAAGGCCUUCGGGUUGUAAACUGCUUUUAUAAGUGAGGAUUAUGACAGUAACUUAUGAAUAAGGAUCGGCUAACUACGUGCCAGCAGCCGCGGUCAUACGUAGGAUCCGAGCGUUAUCCGGAGUGACUGGGCGUAAAGAGUUGCGUAGGUGGUUUAAUAAGCGAAUAGUGAAAUCUGGUGGCUCAACCAUUCAGACUAUUAUUCGAACUGUUAAACUCGAGAGCAGAAGAGGUAGCUGGAAUUUCUAGUGUAGGAGUGAAAUCCGUAGAUAUUAGAAGGAACACCGAUGGCGUAGGCAGGCUACUGGGCUGUUUCUGACACUGAGGCACGAAAGCGUGGGGAGCGAACCGGAUUAGAUACCCGGGUAGUCCACGCCGUAAACGAUGGAUACUAGCUGUUUGGGGUAUCGACCCCCUGAGUAGCGAAGCUAACGCGUUAAGUAUCCCGCCUGUGGAGUACGAUCGCAAGAUUAAAACAUAAAGGAAUUGACGGGGACCCGCACAAGCGGUGGAUCAUGUUCUUUAAUUCGAUGAUAACCGAUAAACCUUACCAGGUCUUGACAUCCUUGGAAUCUUUCAGAAAUGAGAGAGUGCUUUUUAAGAGCCAAGUGACAGGUGAUGCAUGGCCGUCGUCAGCUCGUGUCGUGAGAUGUUUGGUUAAGUCCAUCAACGAGCGCAACCCUUGUCAGUAGUUGUAUUUUUCUACUGAGACUGCCCCGGUAACGGGGAGGAAGGAGGGGAUGACGUCAGGUCAGUAUUUCCCUUACGUCCUGGGCUAGAAACGUGAUACAAUGGCUAGUACAAUGCGCAGCGAAGCCGCGAGGUGAAGCAAAUCGCAUCAAAGCUAGUCCCAGUUCGGAUUGUAGGCUGAAACUCGCCUGCAUGAAGUCGGAAUCGCUAGUAAUCGCAGAUCAGCAUGCCGCGGUGAAUACGUUCCCGGGUCU
rnacentral:rRNA from 1 species